rnacentral:rRNA from 1 species
AUCGGGAGCAGACCAACAGGGAUGCCUCAGUAACGGCGAGUGAAGCGGCAACAGCUCAAAUUUGAAAGCUGGCCCUUUCAGGGUCCGCGUUGUAAUUUGUAGAGGAUGCUUCGGGCGCGGCGCUGGUCUAAGUUCUUUGGAACAAGACGUCAUAGAGGGUGAGAAUCCCGUAUGUGACUAGCUGCCUGUGCCUGUGUGAAGCUCCUUCGACGAGUCGAGUUGUUUGGGAAUGCAGCUCAAAAUGGGUGGUGUACUUCAUCUAAAGCUAAAUAUUGGCCAGAGACCGAUAGCGCACAAGUAGAGUGAUCGAAAGAUGAAAAGCACUUUGGAAAGAGAGUUAAACAGUACGUGAAAUUGUUGAAAGGGAAGCGCUUGCAAUCAGACUUGCGCGGCGUCGAUCAGCCUGGGUUCUCCCUGGUGCACUCGGCGCUGCUCAGGCCAGCAUCAGUUUCAGCGGUUGGAUAAAGGCCUAGGGAACGUGGGUUACUUCGGUGACUGUUAUAGCCCUAGGUGCAAUGCAGCCUGUUGGGACUGAGGACCGCGCUUCGGCUAGGAUGCUGGCGUAAUGGUUGUAAGCGACCCGUCUUGAAACACGGACCAAGGAGUCUAACAUCUAUGCGAGUUUUUGGGUGUCAAACCCAUAAGCGUAAUGAAAGUGAACGGAGGUGAGAACCCUUAAGGGUGCAUCAUCGACCGAUCCUGAUGUCUUCGGAUGGAUUUGAGUAAGAGCAUAGCUGUUGGGACCCGAAAGAUGGUGAUCUAUACUUGAAUAGGGUGAAGCCAGAGGAAACUCUGGUGGAGGCUCGCAGCGGUUCUGACGUGCAAAUCGAUCGUCAAAUUUGGGUAUAGGGGCGAAAGACUAAUCGAACCAUCUAGUAGCUGGUUCACGCGGU